rfam:Dipodomys ordii contig_4257, whole genome shotgun sequence.
UGGGAAGUGGCUCCGUGGUAGAGCACUUGCCUUGCAUGCAUGAGGCCCUGGGUUCGAUUCCUCAGCACCACAG